GCGGGCACGAUGUGGGUCGUCUGUGCUCAGUUCCUGGCUCUACUGUUUUCCAACUGGAAGUCCUUGGGCAAGAGACGUCCAUAAAACAGGGAACACAUCAAAACCUGCCUUGAGGGUGGCUGUGAGCUCAGAUGAGCCAGAAGAAGGAAGAACGUGUUAUACUGGACUAACCAGAGCCCCCACAGUUGAAAUCGGCAGGUGGGUCUUCCCACUCCUAUUUUCUACCAGUGAACAUUGUUUAUGCCUCUGUACAGGUAAGAUGGAGUGCCUGGGUGGCAUAAAAUGUUAAUGUGCUCAGCUAACUGAAAGGCACCUUGGAAAAAAUGCCUGGCAACCUACUUCCAAAAAGCCAGCCACUGAAAACCCUGCAGAGCACUGGUCUGCUCUGACACACGAGGGCGUCCUGAGGUGGAAUCGACUUGACACCCGGUGAUGGUGCUGCUCUCUGGUGCUCCCCCGGGGGCCACUUUCAUCACGGCGAGCUCUCUGAGUAAGAGCAAGAAGGGAGGUGAUCCCAUCCACUGUCAGUCUUAUGGAACCUGGAGGAGGCGGAAACUAAGGCUAAUACUUCAUGUGGAUUUCAGCUGUCCGAUGACGGAUCCCUUCACCACAUUCCCACAGACAGUCAAAGCCGGAAAUUUCCUUUCAGUUCACCAAAAAUGUAUCAUAUUCUCCCCACAAAAUAUACCCCAAACAAUCCACAAAAUAUCAAAAAAAGGUAAGAGGUGGGUUAAGUUAUUCAGAUUCUACAAAACUUGGGGUUUUCACUUAGCCAAGAGUUUCAGCUGCCUGGUACGUGAGUGACAAGUUAUUGGAGGGGGGGAGAUUUAUCCCCUUUUCUACUUCAGAGGGAUGUAGUUAGCAGUGAAAAGAUAAUCGGUAAGGACGGAAUCACUUUGGGAUCUCCAGAAAGAGAGACUACAGAAACCUGAGGGGAGACGCAGGCCCAAUUCCCGGCCAACGCACCUCCCGUGCAGACGCCACCCAUCGGUCAGUGGGGGCUUGCGCAUUGCUGUGAUGCUGUCACGGAUUGAACUGUGUCCCCCAAAAUACGUAUCAACUGGGUUAGGCCAUGAUUCCCCGUACUGUGUGGUUGUCCUCCAUUUUGUGACUGUAAUUUUAUGUUAAAGAGGAUUAGGGUAGGAUUAUAACACCCUUACUAAGGUCACAUCUCUGAUGCAAUGUAAAGGGAAUUUCCCUGGAGUGUGGCCUAUACCACCUUUUAUUUUACACGAGAUGAAAGGAAUGCAAGCAGAGAGUGGGGACCUCAUUCCACCAAGAAAGAAGCACCGGGAGCUGAGAUUGUCCUUUGGACCCAGGGUUUCUGUGCAGAGAAGCUCCUAGUCCAGGGGAAGACUGACAAGAAGGACCUUCCUCUAGAGCUGACACAGAGAGAAAUCCUUCCCCUGGAGCUGAUGCCCUGAAUUUGGACUUCCAGCCUACUAGACUGUGAGAAAAUAAACUUCUCUUUGUUAAAGCCACCGACUUGUGCUGUUUGUUAUAGAAGCACUAGAUGACUAAGACAGACGCUGAACAGGUUUCGACGGAGCUUCCAAACUAAGACUAGGAAGCCUGGUGGUCCACUUCUGAGGGUCAGCCAGUGAAACCCCUAUGGGUCACAACAGUCCGAUCCUGCUGUGCAUGGGGUCGCCACGAGUCAGGGGCUGACGUGAUAGUGGGUCACAACAGUCCCAUCCUGCUGUGCAUGGGGUCGCCACGAGUCAGGGGCUGACGUGAUAGUGGGUCACAACAGUCCGAU